rnacentral:rRNA from 1 species
UACGUAGGGGGCUAGCGUUGUCCGGAUUUAUUGGGCGUAAAGAGCGUGUAGGCGGCCAGAUAGGUCUGCUGUGAAAACUCGAGGCUCAACCUCGAGAUGUCGGCGGAAACCAUUUGGCUAGAGUCCGGAAGAGGAAAGUGGAAUUCCUGGUGUAGCGGUGAAAUGCGCAGAUAUCAGGAAGAACACCAACGGCGAAGGCAGCUCGCUGGGACGGUACUGACGCUGAGACGCGAAAGCGUGGGGAGCGAACAGG